UAAUCGAGGGAGAGCUAUCGCGUCUGAGACAUUCAAUAAUAUAACGCAGCUUGCUGCGUUACUUACCACGAAUUGCAGACGCUUAGAGUGGUGAAAUUUCGAACGCAUAGCACCGACUGGGUCUCCAGUCGGUACGUCUGGUUCAGGGAUGAUUAACUUCACU
rnacentral:rRNA from 1 species